rnacentral:rRNA from 1 species
CAGUCGCCGCGGUAAUACGAAGGGUGCAAGCGUUACUCGGAAUUACUGGGCGUAAAGCGUGCGUAGGUGGUGGUUUAAGUCCGCUGUGAAAGCCCUGGGCUCAACCUGGGAAUUGCAGUGGAUACUGGAUCACUAGAGUGUGGUAGAGGAUAGUGGAAUUUCCGGUGUAGCAGUGAAAUGCGUGGAGAUCGGAAGGAACAUCUGUGGCGAAGGCGACUAUCUGGGCCAACACUGACACUGAGGCACGAAAGCGUGGGGAGCAAACAGGAUUAGAUACCCCUGUAGUCCCUGUCUCUUAUAC